UACGGGGGGGGCAAGCGUUGUUCGGAAUUACUGGGCGUAAAGGGCUCGUAGGUGGCCAACUAAGUCAUGCGUGAAAUCCCUCGGCUUAACCGGGGAACUGCGUCUGAUACUGGAUGGCUUGAGUUUGGGAGAGGGAUGCGGAAUUCCAGGUGUAGCGGUGGAAUGCGUAGAGAUCGGGAAGAACACCCGUGGCGAAGGCGGCGUGCUGGGUUGCAACUGACGCUGAGAUGCGAAAGUGUGGGGAGCAAACGGG
rnacentral:rRNA from 1 species